GCGAAAGUGGCGGAAUUGGUAGACGCGUCAGGUUCAGGGUCUGGUGGGCGCAAGCCCGUGGGGGUUCGAGUCCCCCCUUUCGCA
rnacentral:tRNA from 1 species